CGACACAAGUUUUCCCGAUGUACUCCGGGUUUUACAUCAGUGUUGUUUGCAACGCCGUAUCCUUCAAUUUCAUUGAAGACAUCAAGCGAACAUAAACUUGAACGGUGUAUGAUGUGCUUGCAAAAGUAAAAAAACAACUUACAUAAACGCCAACGUGUACAUAGAGAUUUUCAUUGAAAAGGUGUACUCCGGAAUUAUUCCGCUUUUGACUCCAUUUUAUAUUUUUAUUUGAGCUCUCUACGUUUGAGGUAGCAAAGAAAAGGUUGAAAAGCAUUUUAAUUUGAGGAUAUUCCAACCUGAAGCAAGUUGUACCAAUGUUAAUGAUGGAAGACCCUGUUAGAAUACUGUGCAUACCUGGGGCUAAAACUUAAUCAAAGAUGACCUAUGCUGAAGUGGUGAGACUUGCUAUGCAUGUAACAGGAGACCAAACUGAGACCACCUUUGAUAUAAAGUGUAUAGAAAUGAAGAAAUCAAUGGGAGCCCCUGCCAAAAGGAGGAGUGUUGUUACAGAAUAUAAGUUCCCAAUGAAACAGGGUAUAGAUGAGUGAUCUAGUGUUUGAGUUCACUGAGGAUGUGGCUGUCAUCCUAACAAACAAAGGUUUACAUAGUAUUUAUCAGGCAACAUUCAGACAGUCAGAUAUUCUACAUUUCGGAUACGGAAUAAAGAAAUUGCUGUUGAGGAAGAGAGGAGUUUCUGUGACGAGAUUGAUACACAUAGAGCAUUUGGUAGUGUAUAAUAACAAAGUGUAAAGAAGUUGUGAGUAGUAUUUUAACCAAAAGAACAUCUACCCUAACAACAGUGAAUAUUAAAGCGAUCAGUUGCUGUAUGGUGAUAUUGAAAGAAAUCCAGGACCUACAAUGGUUUAUGAAGACUUCUUAGAGCUUGCCAUAUAAGUGUCAACAAUUUUAAAGAACAGAGAAGACUAUUAUUGCACUUAGUUUUGAGUUUUUGUUUUAUAUUUUACCACUAUGAUAGACUAAUGUUAAAUUCAGGAAUUGCAUUUUUCUGAUAUAUCUGUUUUGUAAUUACGUUUUACUCAUUUUUAAAUACGUUUGAGACGUUUUUUUUUUAUACCUUUUCCUACUUGAGAAGCAUUGACAACUAUUUUAAGUUUUUAGUAAGGUUACUUUCUUUGGGUUUUGUAUUUUAUAAUAUUAAGAUGUCAUACUUGAAUACCUUGUAGUUAUGAACUGUGUAUUUUACUUCUUGAUUCUUUGAUAUGUGUAGUAUUAUUCUCCCCCCCUCCAAUUAUAUUUAGUUUUGUAAAAUAUAUUUUCCAUAAGGCCUGUCAACAAUGGAUGCCUCUCUAGAUAAAGAUUAAAUAAUCUUGGCACACAUUAAAUAUGAAUUUCAAAAGAAAAAAAUAUGUAUGAAGACUCCAUACAAAACUACUUUGGAAAGUAUCACUCCAGUGAUUCUUCUGGUAAAAUUCAGGUAUGCUCUAAAUCUCAGUUUUCAUUGGGAACUUUCUUCAUUGCAUAAAGGAUGCUUUAUCAUCUGUUUUAUUAUACCUAACAAUGCAAGUGUUAAAUGUUGGGAAUACAGAAAGACAGACAUAAUGAUUAUGAUAAGUUAACAAAUAAUUUUACUUCAAAUAUAAUGAAUAUUUAAACUGGAAUUGACUAUUCACAUGUUAUGCUCAUUUCAUUGAUUGUUGACAUUAUGUGUUGAAAAACAGAAAUAAGUCAAAAGAAUUACAAGACAGAAAGUCCAAAAGUCACAAUUUAUCAAUUGAUAAUAAAUUUGUUUGCUCUAUAAUAGAAUAGAAUGUUUCUAAAAAUGUCGAUUGAAUUAGUCUUUCUAUAAAAAAAAAUCUCUCCAAACCACAUUGUGACCUCUUUUUAUAUAUGAUUUAAUUGGUUACAUGUUUGUCUAUUUUGUUAUAUACUUUAAUGUUAUGCAUGAAAAAUAUAUUAACUGUAUGCAAAUUAGGAAAAAUUGAAAGUUUUAUGAUAAUAAAAA